UACGUAGGGGGCUAGCGUUGUCCGGAUUUAUUGGGCGUAAAGAGCGUGUAGGCGGUUAGGUAGGUCCGGUGUGAAAACUCGAGGCUUAACCUCGAGAGGUCGCCGGAAACCAUCUGGCUAGAGUCCGGAAGAGGAGAGUGGAAUUCCUGGUGUAGCGGUGAAAUGCGCAGAUAUCAGGAAGAACACCAAUGGCGAAAGCAGCUCUCUGGGACGGUACUGACGCUGAGACGCGAAAGCGUGGGGAGCAAACAGG
rnacentral:rRNA from 1 species